rnacentral:misc_RNA from 1 species
GAAAUGCGAUAAGUAAUGUGAAUUGCAGAAUUCAGUGAAUCAUCGAAUCUUUGAACGCACAUUGCGCCCGCCAGCACUCUGGCGGGCAUGCCUGUCCGAGCGUCAUUUCAACCAUCAAGCCCCCGGGCUUGUGUUGGGGACCUGCGGCUGCCCGCAGGCCCUGAAAACCAGUGGCGGGCUCGCUGUCACACCGAGCGUAGUAGCAAUCACCUCGCUCAGGGCGUGCUGCGGGUUCCGGCCGUUAAACAGCCUUACAAAACCCAAGGUUGACCUCGGAUCAGGUAGGAAGACCCGCUGAACUUAAGC